UACGUAGGGUGCGAGCGUUGCCCGGAUUUAUUGGGCGUAAAGGGCGCGUAGGCGGCCACGUGCGUCCGUUGUGAAAUCGCCCGGCUCAACUGGGCGGGGUCAGCGGAUACGGCGUGGCUGGAGCAAGCUAGGGGGCAAUGGAAUUCCCGGUGUAGUGGUGAAAUGCGUAGAGAUCAUGAGGAAGACCAGUGGCGAAGGCGGGUCUCUGGACAGUUCCUGACACUGAGACACGAAGGCCAGGGGAGCAAACGGG
rnacentral:rRNA from 1 species